AAGUAGUUCAUUGGUCCUUACAACCAAUGAUAGUGUCCUACGCCUUUGAUUUCUGAGCAAGUAUGAACUUCCCUGUCUUCAUUGUCAAAAUACCCUGCAAACAAUCCUUUGAGAAGAUUAUCAUAAGUAGGUUCUACCUCAAAUACAAUCACUAGUCACUUAUUAUUAAGUAUCCUCCGUCGUCUUUGUAGUACGAGCAGUUCUUCAUCUCGAGGUCAUCUUUGUGAGAUAGUCGGUUGAAAGGACAUGACUAGUAUGAUAUCUAUCUCUUGGCUAUCCAUAUCAGACCAAAAAAACAAGCACUAAACAUGGAAGAAUGGGCUUAGGUUACAGAUUUAUAUUCUCUAACUAUGUCUUUUAGAGGUUCCUUCUCCCCCUUCUUUGUAAGG
rnacentral:lncRNA from 1 species